CUUUUAGAGGAGUGAUCUCAAUUCGAAAGGUUGGUUGUUGUUGUUGUUUCUGUUGAAUGCUCUAUACGCGGUGCAUACUUCUAAUUCCAAUACCCAAGAGGAUCCUGAUAAGAUUUCAGAACCACAAUAUAAUCAGAUUAUUACAAUAAACAUCAUAUUUCUCAAUUUGCCAACAAAAUUUAGCAAACAUCCAUCAAAAGCAAAGUCUGUUUACUAUUUUCACUUUGACAAAACAAACAUUGGAGAUAAUGAAGCUCCAUUUUAUUCCAUAUCCAAUUCACUUUCUAUUCAUGCAGAUGAAGAAAUCUAUAAUCCAGUCUAUGAAAUGAGAAAAAAAAAAAUCAUACAUAAAGUUUGCGUGAGUCAAUUAGGUUGCAAUGAAAUCAGAAGUUCUGAAUUUUACCUCCAUAGAUAUCUUUAUCCGAGAAGUACUUUGCUAUCAAGUAAUUGGCGUAUUCAGCUUGAAUGUUCGCCAAUCUCUCGCUUUGCUCCUUACUAUCCAUGUCUCUAUCAAACAACGCACUGAGUUUGUAAACUUCAUAUAAAAUUGGAUAAUUACUCACUUUCUCAUCACCAUUUGUAUUAAAAAUAUAUUGUCACAAAACCCUAAUUCCUCCAUUUUUAGAAAAAAAAAAAAAAAAAAAAAAAAAAACAUCGAAGUGGUGCGGAACAAUCUACGUAACUUCACACAUCAACGAAACAUUACACAACAUGAUUUGAAAAAAAAAAUCGGAUCUAAAGAUAGAUACCUAAAGAGUAGGAAGAGAUCCAACAAAUCUAGCGAGAGAGAGUCGCGUCUUUGCCACCGAAAUAUAGACGGAAAAUUGGAGUUUUUUU
rnacentral:lncRNA from 1 species